GCAGUGGUGGUUCAGUGGUAGAAUUCUCGCUGUCCGUGAUGGAGACCUGGGUUCAAUUCCUGCCCAAUGCA
rnacentral:tRNA from 1 species